GACGAACGCUGGCGGCGUGCUUAACACAUGCAAGUCACGGGGGCCCGCAAGGGCAACCGGCGAACGGGUGCGUAACACGUGAACAACCUGCCCUCGUGUGGGGGAUAGCCAUGCUAACGCGUGGGUAAUACCGCAUACGUUCCCUUGGAGGAGUCUCUGGGGGAGGAAAGCUCCGGCGCACGGGGAGGGGUUCGCGGCCUAUCAGCUAGUUGGCGGGGUAAUGGCCCACCAAGGCGACGACGGGUAGCUGGCUGAGAGGAUGGCCAGCCACAUUGGGACUGAGAGACGGCCCAGACUCCUACGGGAGGCAGCAGUGGGGAAUCUUGCGCAAUGGCCGAAAGGCUGACGCAGCGACGCCGCGUGUGGGAUGAAGCAUUUCGGUGUGUAAACCACUGUUGCCCGGGACGAACAGCCUGUUUCGACAGGUCUGACGGUACCGGGUGAGGAAGCACCGGCUAACUCCGUGCCAGCCGCCGCGGUAAU
rnacentral:rRNA from 1 species